UACGAAGGGGGCUAGCGUUGUUCGGAUUUACUGGGCGUAAAGCGCACGUAGGCGGAUCGAUCAGUCAGGGGUGAAAUCCCAGAGCUCAACUCUGGAACUGCCUUUGAUACUGUCGAUCUGGAGUAUGGAAGAGGUGAGUGGAAUUCCGAGUGUAGAGGUGAAAUUCGUAGAUAUUCGGAGGAACACCAGUGGCGAAGGCGGCUCACUGGUCCAUUACUGACGCUGAGGAGCGAAAGCCAGGGGAGCAAAACGGG
rnacentral:rRNA from 1 species